rnacentral:rRNA from 1 species
AUGGCUCGUGGUGAUCAUCAAAAUGAUGAUGAUGAUUUCAUGGAUCCACCACAGCAUAAUCGUGCAACUGCACGGAGAAAAGAGGGUGAUGAGAAGAAGAAAUGUAUUCGCAACAGAGCCUCCCAAGAACGACUGACUGCGUUGACUGACAAAUUCACCGACGAUCAGAAGGGAGCUGCUGCUGAGAUGGGUAUGCAGGCUAUGAUGGAUGUCCGGUGCAUGAACCUUAUCAACCCUGUAUGCGACUGGCUUAGUGAGAUCUAUGACCCCGCCUCCAGGGAAUUCGUGAUUCCGGGACGUAGAAGACUACCGUUGAACGAGGAUUCUGUGUUCUGCACUUUGGGUGUGCCUCGUGGACAUAUCAAAGUCCCGUACGAGGUCAAUAAUGAGAUCGAGCAAGAGCUGUUCCCCCGUUUGUUUCCUGGGUUGGAAUCCAUGCCAAACACGUCUGCAGUGGCAGAUUCGCUGCAGGCCAUGACGAUGCAUGGAGAUGUUUUUAAGAUGAAGCUACUCAUGUACCUCAUCUCAGCUGUUUUCGCGCCGACCACUUCUCUUCGCCCAAGCAACAAAUGCUUCCUCAUCCUGGCGGAUCUGAAAAAUGUGAAGAACAUGAAUUGGUGUAAGUUUAUCACCGACUUCCUGCAUGAUGCAUUCUCCAGCAAGAUGUUCCAAAAGGGUUGUCGACUGCAUUUAAUGCUCAUGUACGUCGACUGUCUUGAUCUGUCCAUCGUGGAUUUCACUGGGACUGGAGGCCUGCCGCCUGCGCACAAGUUUGCUGUUUCUGCGCGGACUAUCAACACUGUCAAGGCUGUGCUUGCCGCAGACAAGGCUACUGACACCACAUAUGGAAAACUGCAGCUGAUGGCCAAGCAUUCUAUAGACUACAACGUGUUUGGGGGCCCUCAAAACUUUGGAAAGUGGAUGGACAUGCACUCAGCUCCGUCUUGCCCUGCCGAGGUAAUCAAAAGAUCUACAUCUAUGGUUUGCCGUGGAGUAUUUUUUGAUGUCGUGCAAGUGAUUGCAAUACGGGUGGUUGUUGAUGCUUCUUUGUUUCGUGCACAGGCUAGGGCACUUGUUGAGCAUCUAAUAGGGCAGUUUCAAUUCGGAAUGACCGGCUUGCUCGGGAAGUUGGUUGAGGGGUGGACGUCCCUCAGUGGCUCUGACAGCGACGCGGUUGCGAGGCAGUUCACUCCAUUUGUCCCGGAACAUACACAUCGGCCAACCAGUUGCCGUGGCCGGUAUGACUACAACAGUUCUCAAGAGCCUGCUGACACACAAGAUGAACUAGGUGAAGAUGCUGGUCUCAGCAAGGAUGACGACGAUGACAUGGAGAAUGUGCAACAGGACACCGAUGAUGAUGAACAUGCCGAAGUUGGCGCAAGUGGUAACAAGGGCAAGGAUGCAACAAAUGUCCCCCAACCGGAGAAAGUCAAAGAACAUACGUCUGCGAGAGGCGAGGGGGUUUUGCCAUCAAAGAGGGGGAGGGCUCCAGAGGGUGUUGGGCAGGGUUCUCCUGGCAAGAGGUCUAGGACUGAUCCCGUAGUUGCCAUGAAGAGCGAGUCAACAACUGGUGGACGAGCAAUUACAAAGAAACAAGCGCCAACACCAACCCGUGCUUCUGCUCGGUUGAACAAAGGCGCCUCCAUUGCUGGUGACACCCCUUCCACCAGGUCACCUCCUCGCACGACGACGACCAACACCGGGGAUCUUGUCGUGUUGCCAGACCCGAGGAAGGCAGUCAAGAAGAUGAAGAAGACUACUAUGCGUGGGGCCAAGCAUAUCAGUAAGGACCCGUUCGAACGCCUGCAUUCAAAGUUGUCAAUGGGGGGCAACUCAGAUGUACCUGAGGCGCAAGGCGACAAUACUGCUGCUGCACCGUCAACCGCUCCCACCAACUCUGAUGCUAGUGGCCGACCAUCUCCGCCGGCUGCAGAUGUGCAGGCUAGAACAACAAACAUCCGUACAUCGGGGAGUGACGAGUCGAUAUCCGCCAGGAUAGCUGAAAUAUUGCCAACUCUUCUGGCAAUGAAGGAUGCUGCUGUGAGCCAUGCCACCCCAUCAGCAAGCGUUGAAGUGGACGCCCCCGAGACGAACCUAAGCAAGGAAGAUUCCCGCUCAUCUGACACUGAUUCCAAGCGCGUGCGUCUUGGCCCUCCUGUGUCCACGACAGAAGUGGCUGAGGCGGCAGUUCACAAUGAUAUGCCAUCUACAGGUGAGAGUCCUGGCACAACAGCUCCAGCUCCUGUCGGUGCAGAUACUGCUAAGGCGACUGUUUCACGUGCUGGUCUUCCACCUAGGCGUCGUAGCCCCCGCAAGCAACUAACAGACAUACCCAACGCACCGGCUGUAGCUAGGAGCAGGAGAGACGAGUCUGGUUAUGUUCCUGCGUCCACACUGUUCCCGCCACCUGCCAGAAGCAAUGUGAUGGAGAAACCGGAAGUCCGGAGCACAGCUGAUGCAGGUGUCAAGCCGGGCACGAGUGACGCAGGUGAACGCCCGAAGCAGACUGCACCUUUACCCGCAGUGGAAAUCCCCAGCUUAAAUCUGCGCACUUCCAGGCUCUCAGUCAAUGUGGGUGUCCCCUACAGCCCAAACAAGAAGAUUGUCAUGAAAGCUACGGCUGAUACAUCUGACAACAUGCCCCGCCCUGCAAAUAAGCCCGAUCAUUCUGUAGCGGCCGAUUCAGAUAUGUUUGUCGAUCUUUCACCCUUGGAUUCUGCCCCGCAAGUCAUUCGUGGUCCGGCUAGUAGGCAUGAGAGGCACCCAAUGGCCUUCACCCCACCGAGCUUCAGCCUUGGCAUCAGUCAAAAUCAACCGGUGGUGCAAGAUCCUACGCCAGUUGCCUUUGCUUUCCCGGGAGGCAUGCCCGCAAUGACGGCGCAGCCAAUGGUCGAGGGCAGGAAGGCUGUCAAGUUCGCAGAGCCGAUAGUGCAAGCCACCCCCGAGGAGAUUUCACCAUCACUUGAUGAAGCUUACCGCAGGAUCAAGGAGGCAGCAUUGCAGAGGAAGUCCUCACGAGGGCAAGGGCAAUCAAGUUCCAACGUGCCUGCAGCUACGGUAUCUGAGGAUACCAUUAGGAGUGCCACCCCUGGUUCUGUGAGGCAGCAGAGGGUAGUUCACCCACCUCCCACGGAAGACUACGAGCCCGAUUUCAGAGCCACCAAGGAACAUACCCAGCUGUAUGAUAUUGUCAAGCGGUUUGGAAAUGCGAGGGCCAGCAGCAAGCACAUGAAGGAGCUGAAAGCCUCAUGUUUGGACAGAACCAAGGUCAUUCAAUGCGAAGCGACGUACGUUGACCUCGGUGAUCUUGCCGAGUCCGUGAGGCCAAACGGUAAAAUGUCGACGAAUGUAGUUGCAUGCGGGAUCGACUACAUCAACAAUCACAUCGAUGUGUGUGCCGACAAGAUAAUCAUGCAUUACAGUGUGACCUGCAAAAUAUGGGAUGGUGACUUCCACCACAAAAUCCUGAGGAAGAAUUUUGCUCAACACGGUGAAUUCAAGCUCACACUAAAGAAAUAUGUCGUGUUCCCCAUGUUCCAGGAGCUUGCACCACAUGACCCACAUGACAAGUGUGGUCACCACUAUGCGAUAUGUCUUGACCUGAAGAACCAACGUUUUGAGGUGCUUGAUUCAAUUCGUUCGGAAGCUGAUGCAGACCUUACUAUGCAUGCUGAAUUCUUCAUCAACAACCUCAAAGAGACAUGGAACCGUCACUACGAACACUCAAAGGUCCAGAUCAGGCAUUUCCCGACUGAGUACGUGGCGACUGUGAAGCAAGGGAACACGACGGACUGUGGCUUUCACGCGUUGGAAUACUUUGCAAAGUGGGAAGGUAGACUUGUCCCUGCUGUCACAGCUGCAAUGGUUGUUGAGCUCCGGAAAAUCUACAUAUGGAACUGGUUAACGAAUGAAGAUUUCAACAAGCGGUCCGGAGCACGCGAGUUCGUGGAGGAAGCUGUCAAGAAAGUCACCAAGAAAUACAAGUGA